CCUACGGGAGGCAGCAGUGAGGAAUAUUGGACAAUGGGCGCGAGCCUGAACCAGCCAAGUAGCGUGAAGGAUGACUGCCCUACGGGUUGUAAACUUCUUUUAUAAAGGAAUAAAGUGAGGCACGUGUGCCUUUUUGUAUGUACUUUAUGAACAAGGAUCGGCUAACUCGGUGCCAGCAGCCGCGGUAAGACGGAGGAUCCGAGCGUUAUCCGGAUUUAUUGGGUUUAAAGGGAGCGUAGAUGGGUUGUUAAGUCAGUUGUGAAGUUUUGCGGCUCAACCGUAAAAUUGCAAUUGAUACUGGCAGCCUUGAGUACAGUUGAGGUAGGCGGAAUUCGUGGUGUAGCGGUGAAAGGCUUAGAUAUCACGAAGAACUCCGAUUGCGAAGGCAGCCUACUAAACUGCCACUGACAUUGAUGCUCGAAAGUGUGGGUAUCAAACAGGAUUAGAUACCCGUGUAAUC
rnacentral:rRNA from 1 species